rnacentral:tmRNA from 1 species
GGGGGCGACCGGUUUCGACGUGGGUCGCGAAACUCCAUGUGCAUGCCGAGGUGCAGGAUACCUCGUUAAACCACUUGCAAACUAUUAGUUGCCAACGACGACAACUACGCUCUAGCGGCUUAAUCCCGCUUAACCCCCGACUGGCGUGUGCUUGUGCAUCCAGACCCGGGGGACGCGCUCACAAGCUCGCGUGUCCAGUGUGCUGAGGGCUGGCUCGCUAAAACGUUCCUGAGCUGGUCGGUCAUCUUCCCUGCCGCUUGGGUAGUGAACGACGAGAAUCAAAAAGACGGCUAAGCAUGUAGGUCCUGGAAUGUAGGGCUUGCGGACGCGGGUUCGAUUCCCGCCGCCUCCACCA